GGUUGGGCUUGGAGCUAGGAUUUUUCUGAGUGCACUGAACCAACUCCCGAGUCUCUAGGACGUUCCUAAAAAAAUUUGAUUUUUUCCCAUAGGAAUGCAUGGGUUAGGGUUAGGGUUAGGGUUGGAGCUAGGGUUAGGGUUAGGGUUAGGGUUGGAGUUAGGGUUAGUGUUGGAGCUAGGGUUAGGGUUGGGCUUGGAGCUAGGAUUUUUCUGAGUGCAAUGAACCAACUCCCGAGUCUCUAGGACGUUCCUAAAAAAUUUGAUUUUUUCCCGUAGGAAUGCAUGGGUUAGGGUUAGGGUUAGGGUUGGAGCUAGGGUUAGGGUUAGGGUUAGGGUUGGAGUUAGGGUUAGUGUUGGAGCUAGGGUUAGGGUUGGGCUUGGAGCUAGGAUUUUUCUGAGUGCACUGAACCAACUCCCGAGUCUCUAGGACAUUCCUAAAAAAAUUUGAUUUUUUCCCAUAGGAAUGCAUGGGUUAGGGUUAUGGUUAGGGUUAGGGUUGGAGCUAGGGUUAGGGUUAGGGUUAGGGUUGGAGUUAGGGUUAGUGUUGGAGCUAGGGUUAGGGUUGGGCUUGGAGCUAGGAUUUUUCUGAGUGCACUGAACCAACUCCCGAGUCUCUAGGACGUUCCUAAAAAAAUUUGAUUUUUUCCCAUAGGAAUGCAUGGGUUAGGGUUAGGGUUAGGGUUGGAGCUAGGGUUAGGGUUAGGGUUAGGGUUGGAGUUAGGGUUAGUGUUGGAGCUAGGGUUAGGGUUGGGCUUGGAGCUAGGAUUUUUCUGAGUGCACUGAACCAACUCCCGAGUCUCUAGGACAUUCCUAAAAAAAUUUGAUUUUUUUCCCAUAGGAAUGCAUGGGUUAGGGUUAGGGUUAGGGUUGGAGCUAGGGUUAGGGUUAGGGUUAGGGUUGGAGUUAGGGUUAGUGUUGGAGCUAGGGUUAGGGUUGGGCUUGGAGCUAGGAUUUUUCUGAGCGCAAUGAACCAACUCCCGAGUCUCUAGGACGUUCCUAAAAAAAUUUGAUUUUUUCCCAUAGGAAUGCAUGGGUUAGGGUUAGGGUUAGGGUUGGAGCUAGGGUUAGGGUUAGGGUUAGGGUUGGAGUUAGGGUUAGUGUUGGAGCUAGGGUUAGGGUUGGGCUUGGAGCUAGGAUUUUUCUGAGUGCACUGAACCAACUCCCGAGUCUCUAGGACAUUCCUAAAAUAAUUUGAUUUUUUCCCAUAGGAAUGCAUGGGUUAGGGUUAGGGUUAGGGUUGGAGCUAGGGUUAGGGUUAGGGUUAGGGUUGG